AACUGAUACUACCUGCGGGAACCUGCGGAGGGAUCAUUAACGAAGCGGAGGGGAGAUUGUGUGCGAGUAGCGUAGCGUGAGCGACGUGAGCAGAGCGAACGCAAUGCAGCGUGAGCAAAGUAGCGUGAGCGAAUUGCAACGUGAGCGCGGAGCGUGAGCGAAGCGAAUGCACACAAUCACACUCACAAAACAUACCAUUGGGGCGGCGGGUGCGAGGCGUUGUGCACACAGCUACAUGUG
rnacentral:misc_RNA from 1 species